CUCUCCAGACCUGAUUGUGCAGACACUUGCAUCUUGUCCUGACCAGAGAUACUGCCCUCCUCACACUGAGAAGGACGACUCCACAUACCCAGGGCCAAAGGACCUCAUGUGACCCAUUCUGGGACAACAGACAGGCGCUAGUGCAUCCUGCUCUGUCUCCAGCUCUUCUCAGAAUAGGCUGGAGGAUUACUGCUGUCUAACAUUUCUGACCCUCCCCUCUCCACCCAACUCGUAGAUUAGCAAAUAUCAAAGUCACAGGUAUUCGUGACUAGUCCAAGCCACCUGAUACUUCGAAAAGAUGUGUGGUUUUGUCGGUUGUUUCAUAACUGCUUGGGAUCCGUUUAUGGGAAGAGGCUCUUCCUCUUUCAGUUGGUACCAAAAUGAGAGUUUCCCUUUGAUAUCAUCCCCUAGACUUUCAUCUUUGUACAGUCAGUCAGGGGAAAAUUCCUCCAAGGGCCCCUGCUGUGAGUUUGCCAUUCUAAAAGGCCAGGGCUGAACACAUAUAUCUUCCGUGUCCAAAGGUAUCUCUCCUACCGAACACCAAGCUCCACUGGAAACAGAAUCUUCCGUCUUGAAAAUCUGCAUCUUCAGUUCCCUCCGUGAAGGAGCGGGCUCUGAUCUGAGAAACCAGUGGUUCAAGAGCUCCACCAUGAGGAAAGCAGGAAACAAGCCCUCGAGCAAGACAUUUCUGUCAUUUUCAAAAGCAGGUGCUACCCACAGGAAGGCAAAGGCCAGAGAUGGGGAAUGGGGACCAGGGGAGCAGCCAGGUCAUGGCUCUGGGGCUGUCUGGUGAGGAAAGGGACUUGGCACAGUGUCUCCUGUCCCCUCAUCUGCCCCGCCUUUUGCCGCAUAUUUAUACAACACAAGAAGUCCACACUUCUGUUCUUCCCAGUUCACAGAUAAUUAACUCCGGGCACAAAGACAACUGAUUUGCCAAAGUCACCCAGCCAGCAAGUGGAAAGCCAGGAUUUGAACCCCAGCAGUUUGGCUGUAAAGCCUGUGCUCUUCCACACCUCACAGCACAGGGUUCCACAUCUCGAGGCACCGUCUAUGGGUUGCCAGUGAGUUACCUGGGUCACAGAAGAUAUAUGUGCUCAGCCCUGGCCCUUUAGAAUGGCUUUCUCCCCACUCCACGCAGGGCACAUGGGGGCUACUAACUCUGAGCUCUACAUUGGUAGCAGCUGGCAAGACGCUAAAGCUACUCUUCCCUCUUGGAGAAUUAGAUGCAAUUAGGUUUGCUAAAUUCUCCCAUCAGCCCUGCUCACUAAAUUCCUCACUGACUGCAAUAGUGUUGCCUCCCAGCUGCUGCAGCGUCUGACCCUCACAUCUGCUGGCUUCUCCCCUGGGGCCAGAUCACUCCUGCAGCUACCAGCUCUCACCACCCCCACCCCCAUCCCAGGCCACCAGCCCUUUGAGAUGGGUUGGAACUCUCUGCCAAUUAGAGGUGACUGGGGGAUUCUGGGGAAAGCAUAAGCUUUGGUAUCAAUUAGAACUGGGACAGAAAUCUGGAUCUAUCUGUAUCACUUUAAACAAGGAGCAGAACCUCUCUGAAACUCAUCUUGAAAAUGAGAGAAAUGUUUUAUUUCCUUUUCUCAUUUAUGUGUUGACCCCACUCAGAGGGCAGACAUUGUGUCUGUCUUGUCCACGGUUUUAUCUCCAUUACCUAACACAGUGCCUGGCACUUAGAAGACAAUAAAUAUUUGUGGAGGGAAGGAGGAAAAAAAUACUUUCCCUAUAGGAUUGUUAAGAGCACUAAAUGAGAUAACAUAUGUAAGAAUCUGAGUUACAUGUGCUCUAUAAAUGAUGGAUUCUAACCACCAGCUUAUUUUGAUUACAUGACACCAGGCUUCUUGUUUCAGCUAAUUAUCAUUGUCACCUCAUCCAUUCAUUCAUUGCAGAAAUACUGAGCACCUGCUACAAGUAAUGCAGGACAAUAAAAACGUAAAGAGCAUGGUCCCUACCUUAAAGCGGCUCAGUUACAAUUUCAGUAUACCAUGUGCCACAGCGGUCAUAAGUACAGAGAGCCAUGAGCACACAGAGACUAGCCAGGAAAGGAUGUAGGAGCAGGGAAAAAUCUGGAGGUGGAGAAAAACUUCCUAUGUUGAACUCUGGUGCCCAUUGACAAAGCUGAGUCCCUGGAAAUGAGUAGAUGAUGAAUUUUAUCACACACAAAAGAUAUGCUUGGAAUAAUUUUUUACCAGUCUCUUUCCUCAGAGAUGUAUCUGGAUGUUGCCUUUAGCUGGUUAGACUCUGUCUCUUGGAGAACUGUAUGAAGGGCAGUCCAAGUUCUCUGAGACUUUUGGCUCCAACAGAUCCAAACCACCAGACAGCAGGAAUUAGAAACAGGUGCUACCUAUGGUCUGUGUAUUAGUCCGUUCUCGCACUGCUAUAAAGAAACUGAGACUUGUUAAUUUAUAAAGAAAAGAGGCUUAACUGACUCACGGUUCCUCAGGCCGUACAGGUAGCAUGGCUUGGGAGGCCUCAGGAAACUUUCAAUCACAGCAGAAGGUGAAGGGAAAGCAGGCAUAUCUCACAUGGCCGGAGUAGGAGGAAGAGAGCAAAGUGGGAAGUGCUACACACUUUUAAACGAUCAGAUCUCGUGAGAACUCACUCACUAUCAUGAGAACAGCAAGGCGGAAGUUGGCCCCCUUGAUCCAAUCACCUCCCAAUAGGCCCCUCCUCUAACACUGGGGAUUACAAUUCAACAUGAGAUUCGGGCGGGUCCACAAAUCCGAAACAUAUCAGUCUGGAAUUUAAAUAAAUUGAAGCAAGCAUAUCUUUAUUUGCCACCAAUUUAUUACCCUAAGUUCUGGGCAAGACUUCUUGGAAAACUCCUCUAAAUUUUUUGAGCAGCAUCUAACAUUUUACACAGUAGACCACGUGAUGUGUUCUCAGGUUUCCAAAAUUUGUCAUAUGCAGCCACUGGCCGGACAUGCCAUUGUGAGUUUCACCUGUACUAUUUCUUUUCUUAACGUUUUUAAA
rnacentral:lncRNA from 10 species